AUUGAACGCUGGCGGCAGGCCUAACACAUGCAAGUCGAGCGGUAGCACAAGGGAGCUUGCUCCCCGGGUGACGAGCGGCGGACGGGUGAGUAAUGUCUGGGAAACUGCCUGAUGGAGGGGGAUAACUACUGGAAACGGUAGCUAAUACCGCAUAACGUCGCAAGACCAAAGUGGGGGACCUUCGGGCCUCACGCCAUCGGAUGUGCCCAGAUGGGAUUAGCUAGUAGGUGGGGUAACGGCUCACCUAGGCGACGAUCCCUAGCUGGUCUGAGAGGAUGGCCAGCCACACUGGAACUGAGACACGGUCCAGACUCCUACGGGAGGCAGCAGUGGGGAAUAUUGCACAAUGGGCGCAAGCCUGAUCCAGCCAUGCCGCGUGUGUGAAGAAGGCCUUAUGGUUGUAAAGCACUUUAAGCGAGGAGGAGGCUCUUUUGGUUAAUACCCAAGAUGAGUGGACGUUACUCGCAGAAUAAGCACCGGCUAACUCUGUGCCAGCAGCCGCAGUAA
rnacentral:rRNA from 1 species